AGGAAAUAGAUACCCGGGUAGUCCCAGCCGUAAACGAUGCUCGCUAGGUGUCAGGCAUGGCGCGACCGUGUCUGGUGCCGCAGGGAAGCCGUGAAGCGAGCCACCUGGGAAGUACGGCCGCAAGGCUGAAACUUAAAGGAAUUGGCGGGGGAGCACAACAACGGGUGGAGCCUGCGGUUUAAUUGGACUCAACGCCGGACAACUCACCGGGGGCGACAGCAAUAUGUAGGCCAAGCUGAAGACUUUGCCUGAAUCGCUGAGAGGAGGUGCAUGGCCGUCGCCAGUUCGUACUGUGAAGCAUCCUGUUAAGUCAGGCAACGAGCGAGACCCGUGCCCACUGUUACCAGCAUGUCCUCCGGGACGAUGGGUACUCUGUGGGGACCGCCUAUGUUAAAUAGGAGGAAGGUGCGGGCCACGGUAGGUCAGUAUGCCCCGAAUCUCCGGGCUACACGCGGGCUACAAUGGAUGGGACAAUGGGUCCCUACUCCGAAAGGAGCUGGUAAUCUCACAAACCCAUUCGUAGUUCGGAUCGAGGGCUGUAAC
rnacentral:rRNA from 1 species